CAAUCUUAAGCAGAAAAUAAUUUCAAUGACAAGGCAAUAAGCUCUAGUUUUGAAGCUAUCGGAAAUGAAGAAGGUGAUGGUGCUCAUAUACUGGAGGAAUACAACCAAACAAAAACAUUAAGUGAUGCCUCACGCCGAAUAUUGGUGCGUGAAGCUGUAAACUUUCUGCGCAAAGUUUGUGGUAAUUAUCCAUCUCGGCAACAAAAAAUAGCUCUUGCAAAAGCCAUUAUCGCCAAUUUUCCAGUUUACAAAUGCAGCGCAAGCGAGAUAGGAGGAAUUGAUCUCUUUUACAACCCCGCGGAAAAUUCAGGAUACCUGGUUUCAAAGCUAAAAAAUUUGAAUAGAAAAAGGCGCACGAAUCUUAGCCAGAGUUCAAGUGAAUCAAAUACAGAUGGACGUAAGAGCACAGCAGAGGAAUUUGAUGUAGGUUUCUUCAGAAAUUGUGUCGUUGGAGGGAACUCUGAAGAUAUAAAGCAAAAAUUGAAAACAACGCUGAAUGAGAGAAUUCGAUAUUGUACCCUACAUCUUGAUGUUUUGAAAGCUUUUCCGAUUUUUCGAUACGAUCCAUCCCUGAUUUCAUUCGAUUUUGAACUGCGCUACAAUCGUUUAAUAGCCAACAGCCUAAUUACUUCUUGGCGUAGUUAUUUAAAAUUCACAGGUGACGUUUUGAAAGAUGCUAUUGGAAGCUCUUUAAUACCAGAGUGGUUUAUUGAAAUCAAACCGUUUUUACAUCUGCUACGACUACUACCUUCAUUUACACUACGCUCAAAGGAAAAUAAACAACAACGAGUAAAUUUCGAAUCAACCAUCAAUAAAUUUAUAAAUUUUCAGAAUAUAAAUACACCCAUAGACGACUUCGAAUUAAACAGCAAGCAGCCCACAAUCGUAGCAUCUGGAAAAAGUAAGGAGGAAAUUGUUCAGUAUUUUAUUUUAAUUGACCGUAAAGCUUUA